UAGUAAAUAUUAAUUACGAAAGCAAAAAAUUAUGGCGGUAUUUUAAGCUUUUCAGAGGAAUUUGCUCUUUAAUGGAUAAAACACCUAAAUCUUACUUAAAUUUGUUAAGUCAAUUUGUAUACCACUAUUAAAUUAAUUAUUAAUUUUAAUUUAUAAAAUUUAUGCAAAUUUAAAAAAAAUUAAGUCAAGGUGCAGUAAAAAUUUAAGAAUGAAGUGAAUUACAUUUCUUUUAAGAGAUUAUUAAAAUUAAAAUUUUAAUUUAGGAUUUGAAAGUAAAAUUAAAAUAGAAUGUUAAUU
rnacentral:rRNA from 1 species